GGUUAAGCGACUAAGCGUACACGGUGGAUGCCCUGGCAGUCAGAGGCGAUGAAGGACGUGCUAAUCUGCGAUAAGCGUCGGUAAGGUGAUAUGAACCGUUAUAACCGGCGAUUUCCGAAUGGGGAAACCCAGUGUGAUUCGUCACACUAUCAUUAACUGAAUCCAUAGGUUAAUGAGGCGAACCGGGGGAACUGAAACAUCUAAGUACCCCGAGGAAAAGAAAUCAACCGAGAUUCCCCCAGUAGCGGCGAGCGAACGGGGAGCAGCCCAGAGCCUGAAUCAGUGUGUGUGUUAGUGGAAGCGUCUGGAAAGGCGCGCGAUACAGGGUGACAGCCCCGUACACAAAAAUGCACAUGCUGUGAGCUCGAUGAGUAGGGCGGGACACGUGGUAUCCUGUCUGAAUAUGGGGGGACCAUCCUCCAAGGCUAAAUACUCCUGACUGACCGAUAGUGAACCAGUACCGUGAGGGAAAGGCGAAAAGAACCCCGGCGAGGGGAGUGAAAAAGAACCUGAAACCGUGUACGUACAAGCAGUGGGAGCACGCUUAGGCGUGUGACUGCGUACCUUUUGUAUAAUGGGUCAGCGACUUAUAUUCUGUAGCAAGGUUAACCGAAUAGGGGAGCCGAAGGGAAACCGAGUCUUAACUGGGCGUUAAGUUGCAGGGUAUAGACCCGAAACCCGGUGAUCUAGCCAUGGGCAGGUUGAAGGUUGGGUAACACUAACUGGAGGACCGAACCGACUAAUGUUGAAAAAUUAGCGGAUGACUUGUGGCUGGGGGUGAAAGGCCAAUCAAACCGGGAGAUAGCUGGUUCUCCCCGAAAGCUAUUUAGGUAGCGCCUCGUGAAUUCAUCUCCGGGGGUAGAGCACUGUUUCGGCAAGGGGGUCAUCCCGACUUACCAACCCGAUGCAAACUGCGAAUACCGGAGAAUGUUAUCACGGGAGACACACGGCGGGUGCUAACGUCCGUCGUGAAGAGGGAAACAACCCAGACCGCCAGCUAAGGUCCCAAAGUCAUGGUUAAGUGGGAAACGAUGUGGGAAGGCCCAGACAGCCAGGAUGUUGGCUUAGAAGCAGCCAUCAUUUAAAGAAAGCGUAAUAGCUCACUGGUCGAGUCGGCCUGCGCGGAAGAUGUAACGGGGCUAAACCAUGCACCGAAGCUGCGGCAGCGACGCUGAUGCGUUGUUGGGUAGGGGAGCGUUCUGUAAGCCUGUGAAGGUGUACUGUGAGGUAUGCUGGAGGUAUCAGAAGUGCGAAUGCUGACAUAAGUAACGAUAAAGCGGGUGAAAAGCCCGCUCGCCGGAAGACCAAGGGUUCCUGUCCAACGUUAAUCGGGGCAGGGUGAGUCGACCCCUAAGGCGAGGCCGAAAGGCGUAGUCGAUGGGAAACAGGUUAAUAUUCCUGUACUUGGUGUUACUGCGAAGGGGGGACGGAGAAGGCUAUGUUGGCCGGGCGACGGUUGUCCCGGUUUAAGCGUGUAGGCUGGUUUUCCAGGCAAAUCCGGAAAAUCAAGGCUGAGGCGUGAUGACGAGGCACUACGGUGCUGAAGCAACAAAUGCCCUGCUUCCAGGAAAAGCCUCUAAGCAUCAGGUAACAUCAAAUCGUACCCCAAACCGACACAGGUGGUCAGGUAGAGAAUACCAAGGCGCUUGAGAGAACUCGGGUGAAGGAACUAGGCAAAAUGGUGCCGUAACUUCGGGAGAAGGCACGCUGAUAUGUAGGUGAAGUCCCUCGCGGAUGGAGCUGAAAUCAGUCGAAGAUACCAGCUGGCUGCAACUGUUUAUUAAAAACACAGCACUGUGCAAACACGAAAGUGGACGUAUACGGUGUGACGCCUGCCCGGUGCCGGAAGGUUAAUUGAUGGGGUCAGCGCAAGCGAAGCUCUUGAUCGAAGCCCCGGUAAACGGCGGCCGUAACUAUAACGGUCCUAAGGUAGCGAAAUUCCUUGUCGGGUAAGUUCCGACCUGCACGAAUGGCGUAAUGAUGGCCAGGCUGUCUCCACCCGAGACUCAGUGAAAUUGAACUCGCUGUGAAGAUGCAGUGUACCCGCGGCAAGACGGAAAGACCCCGUGAACCUUUACUAUAGCUUGACACUGAACAUUGAGCCUUGAUGUGUAGGAUAGGUGGGAGGCUUUGAAGUGUGGACGCCAGUCUGCAUGGAGCCGACCUUGAAAUACCACCCUUUAAUGUUUGAUGUUCUAACGUUGACCCGUAAUCCGGGUUGCGGACAGUGUCUGGUGGGUAGUUUGACUGGGGCGGUCUCCUCCUAAAGAGUAACGGAGGAGCACGAAGGUUGGCUAAUCCUGGUCGGACAUCAGGAGGUUAGUGCAAUGGCAUAAGCCAGCUUGACUGCGAGCGUGACGGCGCGAGCAGGUGCGAAAGCAGGUCAUAGUGAUCCGGUGGUUCUGAAUGGAAGGGCCAUCGCUCAACGGAUAAAAGGUACUCCGGGGAUAACAGGCUGAUACCGCCCAAGAGUUCAUAUCGACGGCGGUGUUUGGCACCUCGAUGUCGGCUCAUCACAUCCUGGGGCUGAAGUAGGUCCCAAGGGUAUGGCUGUUCGCCAUUUAAAGUGGUACGCGAGCUGGGUUUAGAACGUCGUGAGACAGUUCGGUCCCUAUCUGCCGUGGGCGCUGGAGAACUGAGGGGGGCUGCUCCUAGUACGAGAGGACCGGAGUGGACGCAUCACUGGUGUUCGGGUUGUCAUGCCAAUGGCACUGCCCGGUAGCUAAAUGCGGAAGAGAUAAGUGCUGAAAGCAUCUAAGCACGAAACUUGCCCCGAGAUGAGUUCUCCCUGACUCCUUGAGAGUCCUGAAGGAACGUUGAAGACGACGACGUUGAUAGGCCGGGUGUGUAAGCGCAGCGAUGCGUUGAGCUAACCGGUACUAAUGAACCGUGAGGCUUAACCUU
rnacentral:rRNA from 1 species